GACGAACGCUGGCGGCGUGCCUAACACAUGCAAGUUGAGCGAAUGAAGUUUCUUCGGGAACGGAUUUAGCGGCGGACGGGUGAGUAACACGUGGGCAACCUGCCUCAUAGAGGGGAAUAGCCUUCCGAAAGGGAGAUUAAUACCGCAUAAGAUUGUAGUACCGCAUGGUACAGCAAUUAAAGGAGCAAUCCGCUAUGAGAGGGGCCCGCGGCGCAUUAGCUAGUUGGUGAGGUAACGGCUCACCAAGGCGACGAUGCGUAGCCGACCUGAGAGGGUGAUCGGCCACAUUGGGACUGAGACACGGCCCAGACUCCUACGGGAGGCAGCAGUGGGGAAUAUUGCACAAUGGGGGAAACCCUGAUGCAGCAACGCCGCGUGAGUGAUGACGGCCUUCGGGUUGUAAAGCUCUGUCUUCAGGGACGAUAAUGACGGUACCUGAGGAGGAAGCCACGGCUAACUACGUGCCAGCAGCCGCGGUAACAC
rnacentral:rRNA from 1 species